rnacentral:misc_RNA from 1 species
GAUGAAGAACGUAGCGAAAUGCGAUACGUAAUGUGAAUUGCAGAAUUCAGUGAAUCAUCGAGUCUUUGAACGCACAUUGCGCCCCCUGGUAUUCCGGGGGGCAUGCCUGUCCGAGCGUCAUUGCUGCCCUCAAGCACGGCUUGUGUGUUGGGCCUCCGUCCUCCUCCCGGGGGACGGGCCCGAAAGGCAGCGGCGGCACCGCGUCCGGUCCUUGAGCGUAUGGGGCUUCGUCACCCGCUCUUGUAGGCCCGGCCGGCGCUUGCCGACACAUCAAUCUUUUUUCCAGGUUGACCUCGGAUCAGGUAGGGAUACCCGCUGAACUUAAGCAUAUCAAUAAGCGGAGGA